GAGUUUGAUCAUGGCUCAGAUUGAACGCUGGCGGUAUGCUUAACACAUGCAAGUCGAACGGUAACGGCUCUAGCUUGCUAGAGGCUGACGAGUGGCGGACGGGGUGAGUAACGCGUAGGAAUCUGCCCAUCAGUAGAGGAUAACUCGAGGAAACUCGGGCUAAUACUGUAUAUUACUCUACGGAGGAAAGUAAGGGACCUUAUGGCCUUACGCUGAUGGAUGAGCCUGCGUCGGAUUAGCUAGUUGGUGGGGUAAAGGCCCACCAAGGCGACGAUCCGUAGCUGUUCUGAGAGGAAGAUCAGCCACACUGGGACUGAGACACGGCCCAGACUCCUACGGGAGGCAGCAGUGGGGAAUAUUGGACAAUGGGGGCAACCCUGAUCCAGCAAUACCGCGUGUGUGAAGAAGGCCUGCGGGUUGUAAAGCACUUUCGUUAGGGAGGAAGGCCUAUUUGUUAAUAGCAGAUAGGAUUGACGUUACCUAAAGAAGAAGCACCGGCUAACUCUGUGCCAGCAG
rnacentral:rRNA from 1 species